rnacentral:rRNA from 1 species
CCGGGUGAGUAACACGUGACUAACCUACCUUCGAGUGGGGGAUAACAUCGGGAAACCGAUGCUAAUACCGCAUAACAUCGCAAGAUCAAAGCAGCAAUGCGCUGGAAGAGGGGGUCGCGGCUGAUUAGCUAGUUGGCGGGGUAAUGGCCCACCAAGGCGAAGAUCGGUAUCCGGCCUGAGAGGGCACACGGCCACACUGGCACUGAAAUACGGGCCAGACUCCUACGGGAGGCAGCAGUGGGGAAUCUUGCACAAUGGAGGAAACUCUGAUGCAGCGACGCCGCGUGAACGAUGAAGCCCUUCGGGGUGUAAAGUUCUUUCGACGGGAACGAUAAUGACGGUACCCGAAGAAGAAGCUGCGGCUAACUACGUGCCAGCAGCCGCGG